rnacentral:sRNA from 1 species
GCUGGGCACAGUGGUGCACGCCUGUAAUCCCAGCUACUCAGGGGGCUGAGACAGAAGGAUCACAAGUUCAGGUCAGUUCUGGCAACUUAGUGAGUCUCUGUCUCAA